UACGUAGGUGGCAAGCGUUGUCCGGAUUUAUUGGGUUUAAAGGGUGCGUAGGCGGCUGAUUAAGUCUGGGGUGAAAGCCCGUUGCUCAACAACGGAACUGCCCUGGAAACUGGUUGGCUUGAGUACAGACGAGGGUGGCGGAAUGGAUACUGUAGCGGUGAAAUGCAUAGAUAGUAUCCAGAACCCCGAUUGCGAAGGCAGCUGCCUAGACUGUAACUGACGCUGAGGCACGAAAGCGUGGGGAGCGAACAGG
rnacentral:rRNA from 1 species